CCUACGGGAGGCAGCAGUGGGGAAUAUUGGGCAAUGGGCGCAAGCCUGACCCAGCAACGCCGCGUGAAGGAAGAAGGCCCUCUGGUUGUAAACUUCUUUUAUCAGGGACGAAACAAAUGACGGUACCUGAUGAAUAAGCCACAGCUAACUACGUGCCAGCAGCCGAGGCAAUACGUAGGGCGCAAGCGUUAUCCGGAAUUACUGGGUGUAAAGGGCGUGUAGGGGGGUCUGCAAGUCAGAUGGGAAAUCUCAUGGCUCAAACAUGGAACUGCAUUUGAAACUGUAGAUCUUGAGUGAGGGAGAGGCAGGCGGAAUGCCGUGUGUAGCGGUGAAAUGCGUAGAUAUACGGAGGAACACCAGUGGCGAAGGCGGCAUGCUGGACAUUAACUGACGCUGAGGCGCGAAAGCGUGGGGAGCAAACAGGAUUAGAUACCCUUGUAGUC
rnacentral:rRNA from 1 species